AACGAACGCUGGCGGCAGGCCUAACACAUGCAAGUCGAACGAGAAGCCACCUUCGGGUGGUGGAUAGUGGCAGACGGGUGAGUAACGCGUGGGAACGUGCCUUUCGGUUCGGGAUAACCCAGGGAAACUUGGGCUAAUACCGGAUACGCCCUCCGGGGGAAAGAUUCAUUGCCGAAAGAUCGGCCCGCGUCGGAUUAGCUAGUUGGUGGGGUAAAAGCCUACCAAGGCGACGAUCCGUAGCUGGUCUGAGAGGAUGACCAGCCACACUGGGACUGAGACACGGCCCAGACCCCUACGGGAGGCAGCAGUGGGGAAUAUUGGACAAUGGGCGCAAGCCUGAUCCAGCCAUGCCGCGUGGGUGAAGAAGGCCCUAGGGUUGUAAACCCCUUUCAGCGGGGAAGAUAAUGACGGUACCCGCAGAAGAAGCCCCGGCUAACUCCGUGCCAGCCGCCGCCGUAAAAC
rnacentral:rRNA from 1 species